AAAAGACUCAGUCCUAACCUUACCGUUAAUUCUUGCUAGACAUAUACAUGCAAGUAUCCGCAUUCCAGUGAAAAUGCCCUUGACAUCUUACCAAUAGACACCAGGAGCAGGUAUCAGGCACGCACCACUUACAUUGCAGCCCAAAACACCUUGCUAAGCCACACCCCCACGGGACCUCAGCAGUAAUUAACAUUAAGCAAUAAGUGAAAACUUGACUUAGCCAUAGCAAUUAACCCCAGGGUUGGUAAAUCUUGUGCCAGCCACCGCGGUCAUACAAGAAACCCAAAUUAACUCUACACGGCGUAAAGAGUGGUUUUUCCUUAUCACCUCAACUAAGAUUGAAAUGUCACCAAGCUGUUAUAAGCACUCGACACACUUAACACCCUCUCCAAAAAUGAUCUUAGCCUUACGACCAAUAAAAUCCCACGAAAGCCAGGAUACAAACUGGGAUUAGAUACCCCACUAUGCCUUCGCCCUAAAUCUUGAUGCUUCCUUACCCAAGCAUCCGCCUGAGAACUACGAGCACAAACGCUUAAAACUCUAAGGACUUGGCGGUGCUCCAAUCCCCCUAGAGGAGCCUGUUCUAUAAUCGAUAACCCACGUUACACCCGACCAUCUCUUGCCAAAUACAGCCUAUAUACCGCCGUCCCCAGCCCACCCUAAAACUGAAGGUCUAAAAGUGGACACAACAGCCACCAUCGCUAACAAGACAGGUCGAGGUAUAGCCCAUGAGAUGGGAGAAAUGGGCUACAUUUUCUAUAAUAGAAUAUCACGACAAGGAGUGUGAAACCACCCCUAAAAGGCGGAUUUAGUAGUAAAGCAGGAUUAUAACGCCUUCUUUAAACAGGCUCUGGAGCACGUACAUACCGCCCGUCACCCUCCUCAUAAGCUAUCCACCACUCCUAAUAACCUAAUGCACCAUUAAGCUAAAGAUGAGGUAAGUCGUAACAAGGUAAGUGUACCGGAAGGUGCACUUAGUCUACC
rnacentral:ncRNA from 1 species